CCACUUUCUCUAUUUUACCACGUCACUCUUUAGAUUUUCACCUAAUUAAACUCUCUACUUUAACUUUACUCAAUUAUAAUACUUUCUUGUGGUUCUACAAUUUCAGGUUCAAGAGUUCUUCACCGUUCCGAACUUCAAAAUGCAUCGGUUAUUGGCUUCGGUAGAUUACAAUGACUUUCUAUGGAAGAAACUCCAAAAAAAGAGAACGCCUCAGGCACCCCACUACUACACCUGCAUCACCUUGUGCAAGUCGGUCCCAGUCCACGAGUUGAUGACUCCCAUAGCUUGCGCGGUCAAAAUGAUCAACACUAUGUCAGUCAUUCACGACGACCAACCCAGUAUGGACAACGCCGACCUUAGAAGAGGAAUUCUCUCCACCCACAAGGUUUUUGGUGAACAGAGAGAUUGUUUUAGCCGAUUAAUCCCUCGCUUUUGAGCACGUGACUGCUAAAACGUCGGCUUGUUGCCGGACUGCAUGGUUCCAAGCCAUUGCCGAACUGAGUUCAGCAUCCGGAUCAGGACUUGUUGGGAGGGAAAGUGGUGGACCUUUGCAGCGAGGAAAAGACUGGAUAUAAAGGGAGUUGGAUUACAUUCAUAUCAACAAGACAGGAAAGCUGUUGGAGGCUUCCAUUGUGUGCUGGGCAAUUAUGGAAGGAGGGAAUGUUAGUGAGGCGGAGGAAGUACGGUACGUGUAUCGGGUCCUCGUAUCAGGUGGUGGUUGAUGUCUUCAAUUUGGCCAAGUUGUCGGAAUUAUAGGGGAAAACGACUGGUAGCUAUUUGCUGAGCGAUAUGAUACGUAUCCGAAGCUGAGAUGGGUCUUGGUAAGUCUCAGAAGUCUGCAACCGAGCUCAUGAAUAAAGCCAUGGAAGAGCUUGACUAAUUUGAUGCAGCUAAGGCUGCACCCCUGUAUCACUUGGCUAACGACAUUGUCUACCAAUAACUUAUAUAACAGAACACUUCAGUAAAAAAGAAGGAAGAUAGAAGCUUUUUUGGUAUCCGUGAAAGAUAGAAGCGCUAGGUCACAUAAUUCUUAACCGGUAAGAUCUUAUGCUUCUACUCUUAAUCAUUACUCUCCCGAAUUUUGAUACUUUGGAAUGUUAUCAAGAGACGCUUUCGCUCAGGGACGUGAAUUAUGUGACCUAGGAUACAAAGUGUGUUGUGCAACUUGUAAGUAGCAAUUUACCCCUUUUUAGUUUGAUUUGUUUUUCAGUUUGUACAAAGAAAUGAUUUCCUCCAUU